rnacentral:rRNA from 1 species
UACGUAGGGGGCAAGCGUUGUCCGGAUUUAUUGGGCGUAAAGAGCGUGUAGGCGGCCUGGUAGGUCAGCUGUGAAAACUCGAGGCUCAACCUCGAGACGCCGGUUGAAACCAUCAGGCUAGAGUCCGGAAGAGGAGAGUGGAAUUCCCGGUGUAGCGGUGAAAUGCGCAGAUAUCGGGAAGAACACCCGUGGCUAAGGCGGCUCGCUAGUACGGUACUGACGCUGAGACGCGAAAGCGUGGGGAGCGAACAGG